rnacentral:rRNA from 1 species
CGAACGCUGGCGGCGUGCUUAACACAUGCAAGUCGAACGGAAAGGCCCUGCUUGCAGGGUACUCGAGUGGCGAACGGGUGAGUAACACGUGGGUGAUCUGCCCUGCACUUCGGGAUAAGCCUGGGAAACUGGGUCUAAUACCGGAUAGGAGCCAUUUUUAGUGUGAUGGUUGGAAAGUUUUUUCGGUGUACGAUGAGCUCGCGGCCUAUCAGCUUGUUGGUGGGGUAAUGGCCUACCAAGGCGGCGACGGGUAGCCGGCCUGAGAGGGUGGACGUCCACAUUGGGACUGAGAUACGGCCCAGACUCCUACGGGAGGCAGCAGUGGGGAAUAUUGCACAAUGGGCGCAAGCCUGAUGCAGCGACGCCGCGUGGGGGAUGACGGCCUUCGGGUUGUAAACUCCUUUCGCUAGGGACGAAGCUUUUUGUGACGGUACCUAGAUAAGAAGCACCGGCUAACUACGUG